GUCCUCCCCUUCUCUCUCUCUAAACCCCCGAUUCGCCGCCCCUCCUCUCUCUAAACCCCACUGCCUUCUCCAUCUUAGUUCUAUUUUCUCUCUCUAGAAAAUGCGUGAGAUUCUGCACAUUCAGGGGGGCCAAUUUGGCAACCAGAUCGGGGCAAAGUUCUGGGAGGUGGUUUGCGCCGAUCACGGCAUAGAUUCGACGGGUAGAUACCAAGGUGACACGGACCUGCAACUGGAGCGGGUCAAUGUGUACUACAACGAAGCUAGCUGUUGCCGGUUCGUCCCACGCGCCGUCCUUAUGGACCUCGAACCAGGCACCAUGGACAGCGUCCGAUCCGGGCCCUACGGCCAGAUCUUCCGACCCGACAACUUCGUGUUCGGGCAGUCCGGUGUCGCCAAUAAUUGGGCCAAAGGUCACUCUACUGAAGGGGCUGGGCUCAUCGAUUCUGUUCUUGAUGUGGUUCGGAAAGAGGCAGAGAAUUGUGACUGCCUUCAAGGUUUACAUUUUGGAAUGGGAGGAAUAGGGAAAAAAAGGGAACGCACAAACAAGAGUGGUUUGGUGACCACGAGGGACUGGGAUAUGGAUAGAGACAUUUUCAUGGUGAGAGAUAAGCCUGUUCUUAUCGUGCAAAUUCAAAACUUUGAUGCGGGUCUUGUGGAUGAUAUUUAUGGUGAUUUUGAAGAGAUGGAGGCUUGGUUGCAUUGUUAGAGCUAUGUUUGUGAGACAUGGUAUUGAUCUUACUAGUGAUUUUCGUUUCUAUUGGAUGAUUGGUCAAAGCAAAAAGUGGACUUAUACAUGACUGUUAUAUCGAUCUAUGGCUGGAAGGGCAACAUAAUGAAAUUUGAAAUUACAUUAACUAUCAAAUUAAUUGGUAUUUCCCAGAUUGGCGAUGAAGAGUAGCAAUUAAUUUUGAAGAAGCACUCUUUCACCCCAAUCACCCACCACCGCCCCAUGCUUCGUGGAAAGAGAACAGAAGCUAUGCAAGCUUAUGCUGCUGCGGCUUGCCUUUGAUUUUGAGGGACAAUGGAUGUCAUCUGUAUGGUAUGGUUAUAGGAAUAGCAGAGGCUAGGAGUGCCUCGACAAUGCCCCGACUACGGCUAUAUGACACCCGAUACACCUGAUAACUGGAUCAGCAGUGUGUUUCCAAGUUUAGCUAUUGUAGCAGUGUAUCUUGUAGCAGUGUAUCUUGCUUUUGAUAUUUUGAUGUUGAUGUUAUUUUGCUAUUGUUGGAGUAUCUAAUGAAAUUUGAAAUAACAUUGUAUUUCCCGGCGUUCAAGAGUACCAAUUAAUUCAAUGUUUGAAGCAGCACUCUUUCCCCCAAUCACCCACCACCAUGCUUCGUGCAAAGAGAGAACAGAAGCUAUGCAAGCUUAUGCCCGUGGCUGUGGCUUGCCUGUGUUUUUAGGGACAAUCGAUGUCAUCUGUAUGUCCUAUGGUUAUAGGAAUAGUACACAGACCAGGAGUGCCUUGACACUGCCCCGACUAUGGUUAUAUCACACUCGAGACACUGGAUAAUUGGAUCAGCAGCGAUGCUGUGUGUUUCCAAGUUUAGCUAUUGUAGUGUAUCUUGCUUUUGGUAUUUUGAUGUUGAUGUUAUUUUGCUAUUGUGGGAGUGUUUUCUAAAUUCCCUUUUUGG